GUUUUAGUAUUUUUUUUGUAUUCAUUUCAAUUAGAAAACAUCAAAAUGUAAUCAAAAGUAUUGAAAUAUAACAAAAUUUAAAUUAAAAACUAAUUAUUUUGCAACUAAAUUAUAACUUUAUCUGGGCUACUCACGUAAAUUGGAAAACUCGCGUUUUGGGUUCGUAUCCCAAGUGUCAUCGGUAUUUCUUUUUUUUUGCAUUAGUUAAAUACAAAACUGCAGUAUUGUAAAUUAUCGACAAUUUUGAAAAUAAAAACGUUAUUAAUCAGGCAACAGCCGAAACCAGUAAGACGAUUUAGUCCAAACUUGGUAAACUUGAUCCCUACUCUUGCAGAUGCAGUUUAAAGAAAACACCAAUAAAUAAAUACAAAAUAAAGCACGUAUACGCCACAGUGCACGUGGACAACGUGCAAAUAAUGAGAAUAGGAACUAUGGUCUGCCUGCCAAAAACUAUUGUAGCGUUAUAAGUACAUAAGUAAGAUUAACAUUUGAGUGGCCAUUUUGAAAAUUUAAUAUGGAUUUUUUGGUAAGAGGCCAGUUAUGCAUCAUUGAAAAUUUGUAUUUCCGUUUUUAAGAAAAUAAAAAUGUUGUUUAUAAGAAGUGUUAUAACAUUGCGGAAAAUGGCUAUGUUACCUUAAAUUGCGAACACAGCAGUAAAAUGAAACAAUUUUAA